UAAUGUCUGGGAAACUGCCUGAUGGAGGGGGAUAACUACUGGAAACGGUAGCUAAUACCGCAUAAUGUCGCAAGACCAAAGUGGGGGACCUUCGGGCCUCAUGCCAUCAGAUGUGCCCAGAUGGGAUUAGCUAGUAGGUGGGGUAAUGGCUCACCUAGGCGACGAUCCCUAGCUGGUCUGAGAGGAUGACCAGCCACACUGGAACUGAGACACGGUCCAG
rnacentral:rRNA from 1 species